GAAGCGGUUGGGAGAAGGAAAGCGGAAAGGGCAAUAGUGGGGUACGGAGCACAGCGCGGUGCGAUGCUUGGAGACCGGACAGGAUGGGAGGUGGGAGGAGGCGGGGCGGAGCGGAGCAUCGAAGACGUGGGCGGGUCCUGCGGGCGUGGGCGGGCCCUGCGGACGUGGGCGGGUCCUGCGGCCUGGGCCCCAAAGGGUCGUGUACAGCGUCAUGGCGCGCUUCCUCUGCGCGCUUAGGAGCCUUCCCUUCCGAGAAGUGCCCGGGUGGGCGGUCCGGGGCCGAGCGGACCGGGUCGGCCUCGGCGCGAGUACCGGACCUGAGGACGCAGGGUCCCUUACAAAGCGGGAGCCAGUUCUCUCCAAGAGUGAGUGGCAGAAGAAGCUGACUCCAGAGCAGUUCCAUGUCACAAGAGAAAAAGGGACGGAACCGCCUUUCAGUGGGAUCUACCUGAACAACAAGGAAUCAGGAAUGUAUCACUGUGUGUGCUGUGACAGCCCGCUUUUCAGGCUCCGGACGCACAGACUCAGCAGCCAUGGCUCACGGGCCCAGCCGCUCCGCGGCAUGUGGGAUCUUCCCAGACCGGGGCACGAACCCGCGUCCCCUGCAUCGGCAGGCGGACUCUCAACCACUGCGCCACCAGGGAAGCCCUCCAUUUUCAUUUCUUAAGGACUUUUGAGUUUGUUCCAUUUUUUUCCUCCCACUGCUGCUGCUGCUGCAGCUGAGACUGAGAAAAAUAAGAAUAUAUUCAUAAGAAUCUUUUAUGUUCCAGAACGUACUCUUCUUAAAGAUGCAUUUAUUUAUAGAAGAGACAGUGUAGUACAGUGGUUAAGUCUGUAGAUGUACAUCCUGGCUUCACUGCUGUGUGACCUCAGGCAAGUUUCUUAACCUCUCUGUGCCUCAGUUUCCCCACCUGUAACAUGAGCAUGCUAGUAGUACUGAAUUCAUAAAGUUGUUGGGAGGAUUAACUGAGUUAUGAGUUAAUACAUGUGAAAGCACCAGAGCAAUGCCUCACACAUGCCAAGCACUGGAUACAUGUUAGCAAUGAGACAUUCUUAGAGACAGAUCCUUCUUAGGGCCACAUACAUGCAUGUGUCUUUGAUAAUGAGGAACUCUUGAGAAUUUUUUCUAAUUAAUGAGAAUCUAUAAAUGAAGACUAUAUUCCUGACAGUGCUUCCCAUUCAGGAGGGUGGAUAGCUGUAGGGAUUCUUGUUUGACCUCUCAUUUUCCCUCUCUCUCUGUCCCCAGUCUCCAGCCUCAGUAAUAGACAGCAGGAGUAGAAAAGAAAGAAACAUUCCUUCAAAUGCUUGUACAGAGUCAAAACCAGCUCUGAGAAAAAGUACUGCUCGGGCACUGGAUGGCCUUCGUUUUCUGAGGCUCACGGGACGUCUGGCUCUGAUGAGAGUAACACAGGGAUCCUGCGACGUGUGGACACCUCGUUGGGACCAGCUCGC